AUUGGAUUGGUGCAACGUUGCAAGCUGAUUGGUCAAAAGUUGCGCUUUUACGCGUAGCAUCACUCUCAUCCUUUCCCAAUGGAAGCAGCGGCGUUGUAUUUACCCACACUCUCACUCUUUUCUAGGUCUGUAACGACAGUUGACCCUGUUCUCUCUUGCCCACCCUCCUUCUCCAAGACCCUUUGUCAAGAUAUACAGUGGUGCUUGAAAGUUUGUGAACCC